GCCAGGCCGGAGGAGGCUCCAGGCUGGGCAGAGCACGGAGCAGCUCUGCUGGCAGCAAAGGCUGGCACAGCUGCCAUUGCUCAGCCGGGCAGGAGAAGCUUUGGGCUGAGCUCAGGGCGGCCUUGCAGGGCCUGCAGGGGCUGCAGGGAAGAUGGACACAGACAAUUGCCAAGGGCUGCAGGGACAGCACCCAGGGAAUGGCUGCCAGGGCCAGAGGGCAGGGCUGGCUGGCAUCUUGGCAAUGGGAAUUGUUCCCUGGCAGGGUGGGCAGGGCUGGCACAGGGUGCCCAGAGCAGCUGGGGCUGCCCCUGGAUCCCUGGCAGUGCCCAAGGCCAGGCUGGACACUGGGGCUGGAGCAGCCUGGCACAGGGGAAGGUGACCCUGACAUGGCUGGGGUGGCACUGGGUGGGAUUUAUGUCCCUUCCAAACAAAACCAUCCUGGGAUUCUAUGGUUCUAUAAGCAGCUUCUUCUGACUUUAUCCCAGUCCAUCUCCAAAGGCUUUUUACCCUUCAGCCAUUACUGGUUACCCUUCAAUGCCUUCUGGUCCCAUUUAAAAAGUUCUUCUAAUAUUCUGCACUUAUAAAAUUGUGGUUUUUUGCCAAAAGUUUGAAAACAGAUGGAAGACAGAUGCUUAGCUUACCCAUUUUUGCUGUUUGGAAAACUAGAAGAGAGGAAUAAGGGCAUCUAAAUAUUUCUGAGCAUGUUUGGGUAUGGUCACCUGCCAUGGAAAGGACACUUUUUACGUCUUUAUUUUUGAGGGUAACAUAUUACAUUAAUUAUAAAAUAACAAUUUCAAUUUAAAAUUUCUCAAUUUAAAAUUUCAAAAUAAACCAUUCAAUUUUAACAAGUAAUAUAUUAUAAUAUAAAAUAUAAUAAACAUUAUUAUAACAUAUAUUAAAUAUUUUAACAAAUAAUAUAUCAUAUUAUUUAUUAAAAUUGAAAUUUUAAGAAAUUUUUAAUGUAAUCCAAAUGCAAUUUCGCAUCAGAAUUUUAUGAGGGACUCUUCAGCUUUUCCCUCCUAAUUUACUUUUCAGAAUAUAUAACAUGGAUGUCUCUUAAUAGAAAAGUAAAUUGUUUUAACUGUAGAGCCAUUAGAAAGUUAAGUGGUGGAAUCUGUCAUUGUCAUAAUUCUCUUAUUUUUCACUCUCUCCUUACCUGUGAAGUUAACUGCAGUGUUAUCUCAUUAUCCUUUGUGACCAGGCACUACAGGUAAAAAUACUCUUAGGCUUCAGGUGAGUAAAGCUGUUGUUUUAACCUGACUAUAAAUGAGGCAAAGGUGCCUUCAUCAAGAUGUCUGGAUUGAGAUGAGAAAAAUAUGUUGUUAAGUGCAUCUGGAAAAUUAAAUAUUGUUAAAAUAUAUAUUUAAAAUAUUUAUCAGGAUGUUUGAAAGUGCAUGUACAGUGUUUGUUCUCUAAGGGUGGGUGUAUGCACCUUGGUAAAAGUUUGGGGAAAAGUGAUUUAAAAAAUCAAUGGUAAAUAUGCUAGUUUUGACAAAUUUUAUAUAAAAUUCUAGAGGCUUUACCUUAUAAUCUACAGAUUUCCAUGUAGAAUUGUAUAAUCUACAAUUCCUUUCAAAUUUUCCUGAAAAAUGAGUUUUUAAGAAACUGUGAACAUUUGCACACAGGGUCAUUUCCACUCUGCUGAUUUUUGCCCUGUAAAGUAAAUAUGGUUUGAGGGACUUGGGGAUGUUAACAGUGGUGAACAAAUGUGUGAUCCUUUUGAUAAAGAAAGAAAAAACCCCUACACAUUCUGUUCUUCACCAAUAACAGAUAAAUAUGUGCCUGAACCAAAAAAUCAGCAUUCUCAGAAGGCCCUGAAUUUUCUCUCCCAUUGUGCUUUGAGUGCAAUAAAAACCCAGCAUUGUUUAACAAUCAAAUGUAAACUUAAUAUUGCCUUUUGCAUGAAAAAAGAAGCAUGAAGCACAUGAAUCUGUGACUUCACUAUUGCAGGUUCACUAUAAUUUAUAUUUGAAGUGGUAAGAAUCAGUGGAAAAUUGAAAUGCAAAGAGACAAUUAUUAAAAAAUGGUGUUUUAAAGAAAGUGUUUCAUUGCAGGUGGCAAAAAGAAUUUUUUAAGCAGUCUAUAACAUAGAAGCAAGUUUUAUUUCACAAUAUCAUAUAAUACAUAGAAAUAUGGGCAUUUUUUAUGAUACAAGAAAAUGCUAUGAAAACACUCACUUGAAAUUGCUGUAAGUAUACAAGAAAUGAUGGAUGGGAAUAAUUUUAAACCAUUCAGAAGUGACAUUUAGAUAGAUAUUGAUCUUAAUGUAGCAGAAUUACAGUGGUCUGAGAAUCACUAGAACAAACAGUUUCCCUGUACAAUUUCCUUAAGGUUUUAUUAUAAGAUUUCCACAAGGUUUUAUUACCAACAAAAAUCUUAAUAUUUCAGAUUUCAUUUGAGUUAAGGCAUAGCAAUAUGAUGCAUAUUUGCUUUUCGAUUUGGGUAUGAAAAUGAUGUGUUAAAAAUAAUUAGAUGGUACAGGAGGGGCAAAAACAGGUAGAAAAAGGAAUACAUGAAGAAGAAAAAAACCAGAAAGUAAUUUCUCCUUAAAAUAAAGCUUUGUGUUUUUCCUGCUUGCCUGAGGGAUUGGGCUAAUGGAAAUGCUCUGGUCUUUGGCAUCAGGGGAUGGCCCUGGAAGGGGGAUCAGUGUAGGCAAUUUCUCACUGCUCAGUGGUUUCCAGGCUCCCAGACAGGACCUGGAGAUCACUUCAAGAUGCAGUCAGGCACUUCCAGGAUGCCCUUCUGGAAAAAUUUCCUUCCUAAAUAAGAGGAGAUUUAGGUGUUCACCCAGCAUCUCUUAAUAUUUCUGAAAGGCAGGGAGGUUUUCCCAUACAAAAGGGACUUUUUACAUACAAAUUGUCUUUGUGAAGUGUUUCUUUUAACUUUUUCUCUGCUCUGCAACAAAAUCCCUUGGAGAACUUUCACUUAGCAAAAGUCUUGGUCCUGGCCUUCCCUCAUAUGUCAGAAAUGGUGCAGGACCAAGUAAAUAAUCAGAUGGGUUUGGGAGCUGCAGUGGUUGUAGCAAAAGCCUUUGAGACCAUUUCAAAGGAGGAAAACGGCAAUAUUUCUGGGAAGAUGAGGUACCUGGUGUCUGGAUGUUCAAGCUUUGAAUGCAAAUGUGAUCCCAUGUGUGGAUUUCAGUCUAUUCCCCAACUCUUGAACAAUUUCAGUAGCUUAAUAACAUUUCUCCACAAUUUCUCCAAGAAAGCCUGGAACUCUAUUUCAUAAACUUUAACUGCAAGCCAGAAAUAAAUUGAGAUCUAAGACUCAUUUUAUUGUUGCUGUUCUUUUAUUUAUCUCUCAUGAUACAUAGAUUUGUUCUUACUGUGGUGGUGUGAUAAAUUACAUUUGGAAGGAAGUCAUGUCUCAGUUUUUAUGUUCAGUACCAUAUAUCUCAUUUCAUUACUUCAUUCUCUGUACUUUGUGGUGGAGGAAAGGGGAGAAUAUUUAGACCACCCUUAUGUUCAAGUUGAUGCUUUGUAAUUUUAAACAGGCUCUUGGGUCUUGUUUAUUCCCUUUUUACAAUAAUAUUGCUGUAAUGUGCUGAUAUGUGGAUUAUAUGGAUUUAUAUCUUGUACAUCACAGCUGUUGACUCUCAAAAGAGUGUCUUGAAAGUUUUUAAUAGAGUUCCAUAUCUUGACCUGUGCAUGUACCUUAUCCCCCAAUUAAACUGUUAUUUCUUUAAGGAUUUUAAAAAAAUCCUUGUAUUUUAUUGCAUGUUUCUUCCCAGAUUUCACUGAAUAUUGAUUUUUCUCUUCAGGCAUUAUGUAGAGAAGUGUCACAAGUGCCAGAAAGCUGAAAAUUACCAGGCUGUGCAUGUGAAAUCUCUGCUGCUGAUGUAUUAGAGGAGCACUGAAAGGAGAGGAAGGAGGAUACAGUUUAAAGCUCCAGAAGAGCUAUUUUGAAAGUAAAUUUCUGUUGUGAGACAUCCAACAACUUUCAAGUCUUGGAAAUGGAACAGUCUGAAGUGCUUUUUUUCACUAUUUGAGUUGAAUCAUGACUGUAGCCACCAGGAAACAUCUUUAAAUACCAGUCAUACUGCCUGGAAAAUCUAAGUUUUCUCCAUCCAUAAAAAAUAAACAAGGUAAUAUUUAGCAUUUUGUGGUCGAGAAUAGG